ACAUCCAGCGAACUUGGCAGAGAUGCCUUGGUGCCUUCGGGAACGCUGAGACAGGUGCUGCAUGGCUGUCGUCAGCUCGUGUUGUGAAAGUGUUGGGUUAAGUCCCGNAACGAGCGCAACCCUUUAUCCUUUGUUGCCAGCGAUUCGGUCGGGAACUCAAAGGAGACUGCCGGUGAUAAACCGGAGGAAGGUGGGGAUGACGUCAAGUCAUCAUGGCCCUUACGAGUAGGGCUACACACGUGCUACAAUGGCGCAUACAAAGAGAAGCGACCUCGCGAGAGCAAGCGGACCUCAUAAAGUGCGUCGUAGUCCGGAUCGGAGUCUGCAACUCGACUCCGUGAAGUCGGAAUCGCUAGUAAUCGUGGAUCAGAAUGCCACGGUGAAUACGUUCCCGGGCCUUGUACACACCGCCCGUCACACCAUGGGAGUGGGUUGCAAAAGAAGUAGGUAGCUUAACCUCCGGGAGGGCGCUUACCACUUUGUGAUUCAUGACUGGGGUGAAGUCGUAACAAGGUAGGCGUAGCGAG
rnacentral:rRNA from 1 species